AACGUAGGUGACAAGCGUUAUCCGGAUUUACUGGGCCUAAAGCAUCCGUAGCCGGUUCUACAAGUCUUCCGUUAAAUCCACCUGCUUAACAGAUGGGCUGCGGAGGAUACUAUAGAGCUAGGAGGCGGGAGAGGCAAGCGGUACUUAGUGGGUAGGGGUAAAAUCCGUUGAUCCAUUGAAGACCACCAGUGGCGGAGGCGGCUUGCCAGAACGCACUCGACGGUGAGGGAUGAAAGCUGGGGGAGCAAACCGG
rnacentral:rRNA from 1 species